rnacentral:lncRNA from 1 species
GCUAACAAUCACAGCAAAUUUUCUACCAUAGGAGCUGGGAAGCACCAAUGUGGUAUUGGGGAUGUAAUGGUUGGGCUGGUUGGGAGACAUAGAAGUAAACUGGAAACGUUAGAUCAUGCAAUUCACAAUUGGGGAGACAUGGUUCACUAUCCAGAGGGAUGCAGGGUUGCAUAAAACUGGAAUUUCACUUUAAGUCUAUGGUGAAAACAUUACAGCAGGAGGGUGGGAAGUUUUGGUAGAGCUGAGAAGUUUGGAGACAGCAAAGUGACCAGUAAAGGGGCACCGGUGCCUGCAGAGGUUCAGAAUGUUCUGUAAUGUUAUCAACAGGUCUUUG